GUCCACGCCGUAAACGAUGAAUGCUAGACGUUGGGGAGCUUAGCUCUUCAGUGUCGCAGCUAACGCAUUAAGCAUUCCGCCUGGGGAGUACGGCCGCAAGGUUAAAACUCAAAGGAAUUGACGGGGGCCCCGCACAAGCGGUGGAGCAUGUGGUUUAAUUCGAAGCAACGCACAGAACCUUACCAACCCUUGACAUGGGACGUAUGGGCUCCAGAGAUGGGGUCCUUCAGUUCGGCUGGCGUCCACACAGGUGCUGCAUGGCUGUCGU
rnacentral:rRNA from 1 species